CCUACGGGAGGCAGCAGUAGGGAAUAUUGCGCAAUGGGCGAACCCCUGACACAGCAACGCCGCGUGCGGGAUGGAGGCCCUCGGGUUGUAAACCGCUUUCAGUAGGGAAGAAAAUGACGGUACCUACAGAAGAAGCCCCGGCCAACUACGUGCCAGCAGCCGCGGGUAAU
rnacentral:rRNA from 1 species